GGGAGUAAAAGUCGUAACAAGGUUUCCGUAGGUGAACCUGCGGAAGGAUCAUUCAUAAUAAAGUGUUUUAUGGCACUUUUUAAAAAUCCAUAUCCACCUUGUGUGCAAUGUUAGAUCUCGUCAAUCUUGGCGAGAUUUUUAUACAUCGACUCAUUUUUUAACUAAUUUGUCUGAAAAAUAUUAUGAAUACUUAAUUCAAAAUACAACUUUCAACAACGGAUCUCUUGGCUCUC
rnacentral:misc_RNA from 1 species